rnacentral:rRNA from 1 species
UACGUAGGGGGCUAGCGUUGUCCGGAAUCAUUGGCGUAAAGAGCGCGUAGGCGGCCAGAUAAGUCCGGUGUGAAGUCAGGGCUACAACCCUUGAAGCCGGCCGAUACUGUCGGACUAGAGUCCGGAAGAGGCGAGUGGAAUUCCCGGUAUAGCGGUGAAAUGCGCAGAUAUCGGGAGGAACACCAAUGGCGAAGGCGGGUCUCUGGGCAGUAACUGACGCUGAGGAGCGAAAGCGUGGGGAGCGAACAGG